GUAUUCCCUCUGUAUUUCAAAAUGUUAGGACAAAAAUAUUUGCCGAUUUUGAUUUUUAUGUGGAUGAAUUACUCAUGCAAAUGUCAGGACUUUGAGACGUUUGUUGCCCCAAUAGUGGACAACAAAGGGGCGCCACUGGUUGCAAUUGUAAAUACAACUAACAUUAGUUCACAUAUUGUUCGGUCAAUAGAAAUGCCACUACGGGCAAUAAUCAACUCAACAAUAGAAUGCAGAAUAAACGAAAAGCUUAAAGAAGAUUUAGUGUCGAGUAAAGUUUUGAGAAACGUUAACAACAAGUUUGACGCCUUACAACAAAAGAUGGACGAAUAUAUUGGAGAUAACCGGAACCAAAUAACUAAAGUUAACCAGGACAUUGCUACUUUACGGAAUGAAAUGGAAGAAUUGAAGAAUUUGGCUAAAACUGUCAACGACAUGAAUUCAAGAGUUGCCCUUUCAGCAUGUGCUGCGUCUCAUGUUACUAUCAGACCACCAACAACUAUAAAAUUCCCGGACAUCGUAACAAGCGAAGGAAUCACCAAUCAACAUCUAACCUCAUUUAAAUCCACUGGUAUAUUUGUGUGUGAAGUUCCUGGUCUGUACCAUAUUUCCGUCGUCAUAAUGUCAUAUGCUACUAAUGCACAUGUCAAAAUAUCUAAAAAUAAUAGAGAACUGGUUAAAGGGUUUAUUAGCAGUUAUUAUACCGGACAUGGAAAUUAUUCUCAUUCAAAUGCAGCAGUUGUGGUCACUGAAUUACAGAAGGGUGACAGUAUCGAUAUAAAACCAAUAGAUAAAGACAUGAACAUAAACGCCCAUAACUAUUCGUGUCUUACUAUUGUUAAAGUGAAUUGAUUUGUAUCAGUAUUUGAAAAUUAUUACAUUGUACGAAAUGAAAGAAUGUGAACGGAAAACCUCCCUUUUGAUUAAAAAAAUAUAAUUCUU